CGAUGUUGGGAUUUGAGUUCCCACCAGCUGUGAGGAAGCAGCACAUUGUAGACAUCAUGUGAUGUCUCUGAGCAUGAGACAGGAAGUCCCAGCUAGUGUAACGCAGCUGGUGGGAACUCAAAUCCCAACAUCCU